rnacentral:tRNA from 1 species
GAGGGGAAAGCAUAGAUAUGCGGUUAACUUGAAAUUAACAGAUGGUGGUUUCGAUCUGCCUCUUCUCG